rnacentral:rRNA from 1 species
AGUGAACGCUGGCGGUAGGCCUAACACAUGCAAGUCGAACGGCCGCACAGUAAGAGCUUGCUCCUACGGGUGGCGAGUGGCGGACGGGUGAGGAAUACAUCGGAAUCUACUUUUUCGUGGGUGAUAACGUAGGGACACUUACGCUAAUACCGCAUACGACCUACGGGUGAAAGCAGUGGAUCUUCGGACCUUGCGCGAUUGAAUGAGCCGAUGUCGGAUUAGCUAGUUGGCGGGGUAAAGGCCCACCAAGGCGACGAUCCGUAGCUGGUCUGAGAGGGUGAUCAGCCACACUGGAACUGAGACACGGUCCAGACUCCUACGGGAGGCAGCAGUGGGGAAUAUUGGACAAUGGGCGCAAGCCUGAUCCAGCCAUACCGCGUGGGUGAAGAAGGCCUUCGGGUUGUAAAGCCCUUUUGUUGGGAAAGAAAAGCAGCAGGUUAAUACCCCGCUGUUCUGACGGUACCCAAAGAAUAAGCACCGGCUAACUUCGUG